GUUGUUGUUGUGCUGUUGAAACGAUUCGGACGAUUCGACGCAGAUAACAGUGUAGGUUAUUUUAAAACGAGAACGGCGUUUUCCCGCGUUCGCCUGACGUUUCUAUAAACGUUACACCGAACGAACAUAUCACCCGAUAUAACCUAACCGGGAUUCAUUCCCACCGGAGAGGGGGGCGGUCCGAACGCUAUAGUAAAUGAUUUCAUUGCGCAACAAAGUACACAUUUUUCAAGUUAUGCGCAAUGUACAGGCAUCCACGGUUCGGGACUUUUUGCACCUAAAAGUUUAAAUCGAC